CUGGGGGUGAUGGUGCUGCUGUGAGCUGGACUGAAAGAGACAGGAGCCUCUGCACAGCACAGAUUAAAUCACAGAGUGACUGCACAUGAUCCCUGACCUACAGACCUACAAGGAGUGACCCUGGACUAAAGGCUGGUUCUUGGGAACACCUCUGGAGUCGGCAGGGGACCCUGUGUGCUGAAUCAAACUUUUUUUCCAGAUCCUCAUUGUGUACCAACUGUAUCUCACCAAAUGCCCAUAAAGACUGAAGGUCACAUCCUAUGUCAAGACAAGACUGGUUCAGAGUCCGGGUGAUACUACUAUAUUCCCUCUGAUUAGUACAACAUGGUGUCAGAGAAACUACAACACAAUAAAGAGAACACCAGGAUCGCUGCUGAUGGCACAAAACCAGGAGAGAUCAUCAAUACACAGAAAUAUGAGAUCUACAGAAAAAACUGCUGACCUUGAGCAAUGGAGUACUAGAAAUGGGAUGAAAUUCAACAGUGCAAGAACUUGGAAAAUAACAACAAGCAUGUCUGCUGUAACUUAGGGUCUCAGCUGGAAAUAAAUGGAAAGGAGGUGGAGAA